rnacentral:tRNA from 1 species
GUCCGGGUGGCUUAGUAGGUUAAGCAUCUGACUUCAGCUUAGGUCAUGAUCUCACAACUCGUGGGUUCAAACCCCACGUCAGGCU